UUCUGCGCUCUCUCGAUUUGGGUACUGCUUCCUGUAUUCUGAACGAAAUGCGUGGCCGAUGUUGCCCUAUUCUUGUUAGGUCGUCAAGCAAUCUACCGCCUUUUAGAGUUUUAGUAGCGUAUUUAUGCCAUGGCCAUGGGUUUGAUGUAGUUCUUGUUAGAUCUUACUUUGGCAAUCAAUUAAGAGCUACUACAAGGCCUUUGUUGAGGUAAGUUUUUUUACCGGCGCAAAUAGCAUUUGAGAAUCGAUUUCUGAUAUUUAUCAUGCUGAUCGCAAGCAAUGAAACUCAAUUAUAUUCACAGUACAUUGAAUGGAUAGAAGUAGCAGUAAAAUGUUACUCCUAAUUUUUAGUUUGGCAUCCCUGAAUUUUGUAGUCCUAGCAAUUGCUCUCGAGUUUCAUUACUGUGCAUUUGUUUUCUUUGUUUAGGCUGUUCUUACAAGGAAAACACAAUCACAAAUGAGGCCUACAAAUACGAUCCUACUAUUCUUACUAUAUAAAGUAUGCAUGUGAACAUGUCAUAUGAUGUGGAAAUCGAUCUUUUACACAAUAUUUCAAAGGGAUGGGAUCCUAGCAAUGCUGCUACCCAAACUGAAGCAUGUUGGUCUAUUAAUUACUAAUCUAAUACUUGCUUUGUGGCAUCCAUUUAGUUUUUAGGGACGAGUCAUUUAUGCUUUAUAUAUUUGGUGUAUAGGUAACAGUGGCAGUUCAUGUUCUAACUCCAAAAAAGAUUCAGUUUCACAGGUAAAUACAGGUCGUGGUAGCAAAACUCCUGGAAAUACAAAAUAGCUAGGAGCCGGUGGCAGCAUCCAAAGGGGGCAGCGCCGGCGGCAAGGUGAGUCGGUUUGGUCAUGGCUCUGUUCUACUCCCUCCAUCCCAUAUUAAGUGUCUCAAAUUUGUCCAAAUAUGGAUGUAUUUAUGCCUAAAAAGCGUCUAGAUUCAUGUAAUAUUUCGACACUUAAUAUGGGACGGAGGGAGUACUUGUCUCCACUUGUUCGUGCCUCAUCUUUUUUAGGGAAUGUCAGCUCAAAGAAGAUUGUUAUUUUGCCCGAGCAGAUUGUUUGCUUGGCCUACUCUUUGGUUCUAGGUGUUGAGUGUCACACUCUUUGUGCUCAAGGUAUACACCAAUUGCAGUUUUAUUAGCAAUUAAAUUCCAAAAAGAAGUGAAAAAGAAAGAUCUUACACACACCACUAACAGUUCUGGACAGCACAUGGUAAGAAUAUGGCGUGGUAGCUGUGUGUGAGACAAGGGGAUUGCUGACGGGGAUUGCGGCGUCACGGGGAAUUCAGAUAAGAUCAUAAAUUGUGACAAAAGGAACGGUGGCAAUUGUGUUGUAUGGAAAUUAAGAAAGUUGUGGUCAUCAUAUUUGUUAUUUUUGUAUAAUCGAGUAUUCGGUCUUAUGCAAUGUGCUGAAACGAUGGUUAUAUAUCAUCUCUUUUACCUCCCCUUGUUGAAUUUGCGGAACCUGGUAAUAAGACUUCUUUGUUCACAAUGUGUUGUUGAUGAAUAUGAUAUCCAGGGUCUUGGUAUU